AUUGAACGCUGGCGGCAUGCCUUACACAUGCAAGUCGAACGGCAGCACGGGAGCUUGCUCCUGGUGGCGAGUGGCGAACGGGUGAGUAAUACAUGGGAACGUACCCUGAAGUGGGGGAUAACGUAGCGAAAGUUACGCUAAUACCGCAUAUUCUGUGAGCAGGAAAGAGGGGGAUCGCAAGACCUCUUGCUUUAGGAGCGGCCGAUGUCGGAUUAGCUAGUUGGUGAGGUAAAGGCUCACCAAGGCGACGAUCCGUAGCGGGUCUGAGAGGAUGAUCCGCCACACUGGGACUGAGACACGGCCCAGACUCCUACGGGAGGCAGCAGUGGGGAAUUUUGGACAAUGGGCGCAAGCCUGAUCCAGCCAGUCGCCGUCGAGUAGAGAAGGACGU
rnacentral:rRNA from 1 species